AUACGGAGGAUGCGAGCGUUAUCCGGAUUUAUUGGGUUUAAAGGGAGCGUAGGUGGGAUAUUAAGUCAGCUGUGAAAGUUUGGGGCUCAACCUUAAAAUUGCAGUUGAUACUGGUUUCCUUGAGUACGGUACAGGUGGGCGGAAUUCGUGGUGUAGCGGUGAAAUGCUUAGAUAUCACGAAGAACUCCGAUCGCGAAGGCAGCUCACCGGGCCGGAACUGACACUGAUGCUCGAAAGUGCGGGUAUCAAACAGGAUUAGAUACCCUGGUAGUCCGCACAGUAAACGAUGAAUACUCGCUGUUUGCGAUACACGGUAAGCGGCCAAGCGAAAGCGUUAAGUAUUCCACCUGGGGAGUACGCCGGCAUCGGUGAAACUCAAAUGAAUUGACGGGG
rnacentral:rRNA from 1 species